CUUGUUGAAUGCACGCAGCCAAUAGGAAUGCAAGGCUCUCUCCUCGUGCGCGAAGUUGGAACCGUUCGCUUUGGAUUCUGCUGUGUUUUGCGGGGAGACUUUCCUGAGAUUAUUCGAUUUUUGAGAUCAGAAAACCGAAGGGGAGGUCAGGAGAAGAGAGGGGAGAAAAGGUGAACUGUGGCGUUGCCAUGGAGAAGUGGGGCGUAACAGAUGUAGGAAUGACCGACAACCCAGCCCAGGUCUGACGCCGCCCACCACACCUGAGAACAGUUAAUAACCAAUAUGUGAGG